GGUAAUCGGUAAGUAUUUUAGGUUUUGUACAAAUGUCAAAAUAGUGUUUCCAACACAAUUUAGGUUUUGUGGAAAAGGACUGCAUCAAGGUAAAAUAAAGACUGCAAAAUGAUUGGCAGGAGCAUGUGACUGGAAUCUUAUGAGCCUGGGAGUGUUGGAAUGUUUAGGAUUCAGUUGAGAGAAACUGUAUCUCUGGAUCUGAAGAGGAAAGGAGAAAGAAGUGUGGCCAAAUCUGUCAGAAGAUCAAUUCCCAAGACACUAGCCUAUGAAGAUCCUUUGGCUGUGGUAAGGAUUUAUUCUUCAAUCGUCUGCUGGUCAGGGAUUGAGGAGCUAUCUUCAACUUGGAGGAGUUAUCAUUUGUGUACAUUUCACCUUGGAUUCCUGUUUUGGCUCCCAGAGACUCUAUUGUUCCAUAUAACCAGUCAUCAUGAGGAUCUUCUACCUGGCUUUUCUGCUGUUCUUCAUGAUCUACUACUACACCAACACAGGUUAUGGCAAUCUACAAUACUCUAGAAAAUGUGGGAUGACAUGGGGUUUAUGUGCAUAUAUAGCCUGUGUACCUCCAAAAGUUAUCAUAGGAAGAUGUGCUACCAUGUUAAAAAUUUGUUGUGACAGUCCACUGUUUAGAGUAAAAAAUGUCACACAGAAGCCUUUUUUUAACCCAUUCCAAUUUUGGGGUGGGAAGAAGAAGAAGAAGGUGACAAAAAAAAGAGGUUGAAAUGCAUGGAAUUUUUUUUAAUAAAGGAAACGCCAUUUUGAUAAUAUUGUUUUCU
rnacentral:lncRNA from 1 species